UGAGACACGGUCCAAACUCCUACGGGAGGCAGCAGUGAGGAAUAUUGGUCAAUGGUCGGCAGACUGAACCAGCCAAGUCGCGUGAGGGAAGACGGCCCUACGGGUUGUAAACCUCUUUUGUCGGAGAGUAAAGUGCGCUACGCGUAGCGCAUUGCAAGUAUCCGAAGAAAAAGCAUCGGCUAACUCCGUGCCAGCAGCCGCGGUAAUACGGAGGAUGCAAGCGUUAUCCGGAUUUAUUGGGUUUAAAGGGUGCGUAGGCGGCACGCCAAGUCAGCGGUGAAAUUUCCGGGCUCAACCCGGACUGUGCCGUUGAAACUGGCGAGCUAGAGUGCACAAGAGGCAGGCGGAAUGCGUGGUGUAGCGGUGAAAUGCAUAGAUAUCACGCAGAACCCCGAUUGCGAAGGCAGCCUGCUAGGGUGCGACAGACGCUGAGGCACGAAAGCGUGGGUAUCGAACAGGAUUAGAUACCCUGGUAGUCCACGCAGUAAACGAUGAAUACUAACUGUUUGCGAUACAAUGUAAGCGGUACAGCGAAAGCGUUAAGUAUUCCACCUGGGGAGUACGCCGGCAACGGUGAAACUCAAAGGAAUUGACGGGGGCCCGCACAAGCGGAGGAACAUGUGGUUUAAUUCGAUGAUACGCGAGGAACCUUACCCGGGCUUGAAUUGCAACUGAAUGAUGUGGAGACAUGUCAGCCGCAAGGCAGUUGUGAAGGUGCUGCAUGGUUGUCGUCAGCUCGUGCCGUGAGGUGUCGGCUUAAGUGCCAUAACGAGCGCAACCCCUAUGGACAGUUACUAACGGGUGAAGCCGAGGACUCUGUCUAGACUGCCGGCGCAAGCCGCGAGGAAGGUGGGGAUGACGUCAAAUCAGCACGGCCCUUACGUCCGGGGCGACACACGUGUUACAAUGGCAGGUACAGAAGGCAGCCAGUCAGCAAUGACGCGCGAAUCCCGAAAACCUGUCUCAGUUCGGAUUGGAGUCUGCAACCCGACUCCAUGAAGCUGGAUUCGCUAGUA
rnacentral:rRNA from 1 species